UACGUAGGGGGCUAGCGUUGUCCGGAUUUAUUGGGCGUAAAGAGCGUGUAGGCGGCCAGGUAGGUCCGGUGUGAAAACUCGAGGCUCAACCUCGAGACGUCGGUGGAAACCGUUUGGCUAGAGUCCGGAAGAGGAGAGUGGAAUUCCCGGUGUAGCGGUGAAAUGCGUAGAUAUCUGGAGGAAUACCGGUGGCGAAGGCGGCAUCCUGGACCGACAUUGACGCUGAACGGCGAAAGCUAGGGGAGCAAACGGG
rnacentral:rRNA from 1 species